AUGGAGUAUCAGCCCAUCAUCUCCGCCUUGGACGCACGUACUGAUCCAGUCACCAUCGAGAACCUCUUCGCCAUGGUAGCCAAUUUUGACCAGCGCGUCGAGAUGUUCCAUGGGACAGGCGCUGGCAACUUCAAGUCCUCCGCCAACAUUGCUUCUCAUGGCCGCCAGGGACCCAACAAAGGCUCCCGUGGUCAGCAAAAGGGUGGUGGUGGUGGCGGAUCUUGUCCAGGUGGCAGUGGCGGUAGCGGCCACAGCGGCGGCGGCGGCUACAACAAUUUUGGCUACAAUCCUAGCGGCUACAACAGCAACAAUGGUGGCAGCAGCCACUAUGGUGGUGGUGGUGGCGGUGGCCAUUAUCACCAGGGAAACAACAGCGGCGGCUACCCUCCUCGACGCAACAGCAGAGGGCGCAACAACUUUCAGGGGUAUGAAGGUCGUUGUCAAAUUUGCAAAAAAAAACUAACCAUAUCGCCAAAGAUUGUGAUUGGCGUUAUGCUGAUGACGCAUCCCAAAAGAAAAAAGUUGCUGCUGUAG
rnacentral:rRNA from 1 species